GGUUCUGUGAUAAUAUCGGGAUUGUCAUGUAAAGAAAUUCUCUAUGCCACUGUGAUGCAGAGUAUUCUUGUUGGUUGUUCAAUCCUGUCCAUUGUAGUCAGUCAAUUUGUGGCAUUUAUAUCGAUACGUGCUCUGAGUGGGACGGGACAGGUAACACAAUUAUUCAUUAUUCUUUCAAUAAUUUUUAUUAUCGUUGUAAUGGUAAUGGAGAGUACAGAUCAUUUUUAAAAGUCAGUGUUUUGACUGAAGCAAAAGGUCUUGACAUUCCCCAAAACGAUUGGAGUAGUUUGACGAUUUGAAAGAAUAAGUCUGUAUUCUCUAGUCCCCCUUUGAAUUUGGGAAAAAUUUUCAGAUUUCUUAAAACAGUUAAGCCUGUAUGGUUUGCACUAUCAACGUUUCUGUGAUCACAGUAUAGAAAUUUUGCAUCGAUAAAUUCUGAAGGAUUUGUAAGAAAUGGUUGAAGGAACUGACUUAAUGUUAACUGAGUUAGUUCCCUCAAACAUUUCUUACAAAUCCUUCAAAACUUAGAAUUUAUCUGCUCUGAUAGCGUAUACCAUAUAUGAAGUAUUUGAAGAUAGAGCUCGACAACUGGCCUCUGUAGCUCAGUUGGUUAGAGCUCGACAACUGUCUCUCUGUAGCUCAGUUGGUUAGAGCUCGACAACUGUCUCUCUGUAGCUCAGUUGGUUAGAGCUCGACAACUAUAUCUCUGUAGCUCAGUUGGUUAGAGCUUGACAACUGUCUCUCUGUAGCUCAGUUGGUUAGAGCUUGACAACUGUCUCUCUGUAGCUCAGUUGGUUAGAGCUUGACAAUUGUCUCUUUGUAGCUCAGUUGGUUAGAACUUGACAACUGUCUCUUUGUAGCUCAGUUGGUUAGAACUUGACAACUGUCUCUCUGUAGCUCAGUUGGUUAGAGCUCGACAACUGUCUCUCUGUAGCUCAGUUGGUUAGAGCUCGACAACUGUCUCUCUGUAGUUCAGUUGGUUAGAGCUCGACAACUGUCUCUUUGUAGCUCAGUUGGUUAGAGCUCGACAACUGUCUCUCUGUAGCUCAGUUGGUUAGAGCUCGACAACUGUCUCUGUAGCUCAGUUGGUUAGAGCUCGACAACUGUCUCUCUGUAGCUCAGUUGGUUAGAGCUUGACAACUGUCUCUUUGUAGCUCAGUUGGUUAGAACUUGACAACUGUCUCUCUGUAGCUCAGUUGGUUAGAGCUCGACAACUGUCUCUCUGUAGCUCAGUUGGUUAGAGCUCGACAACUGUCUCUCUGUAGCUCAGUUGGUUAGAGCUCGACAACUGUCUCUCUGUAGCUCAGUUGGUUAGGGCGCUACACCGGAAUUACAGGUUCGAUUCCUGCGAGGGACCUAAAGUUGCAUUUUUCGCUUGUCUUCCUGGUUUAUAGGUCCUAUAAAUGUAUAUAAAUUUCCACUUGAAAAUUUCCGUCUACAAUACCUCUCAACUACACCAAACUUUACUGUGUAGGUUUCUUGAUAAUUUUGAAUAUUUCCCGAAACAUUUUUUUUUGGAAAACAGUCGGUAGUUUGAAGCAAAAAUUGAAUUUUUAUCAAAAGGGCAGCCAUUCACCUAUGCAUGCUAUUUUUAAUUAAACAAGUUUUUCAAAGUUUUUAAAACGUGUUUAUGAAUUGAAGGUCAUUCGGUUUAAUGAAAGAAAAGGUUUUUAACCCAAAAGAAAAUGAAAAAUAUAAUGUCCGGGAAACAUUUUUAUGUUCAGGCGCCUACCCACCCCCACCCCCGCUCGCCAACAAUUUUGGGAAAAGAAAUAUUAAUUAGUGGUUGAGAUGACUCGGCAAAAUUUUACUUACACCCCCCAUUAAAGUAGGGCUAGCGACGCCCUUGUUUUGACAAUCCUCAGAACGUUUUGGAAUAGUUUGAGUGGAAUUUAAUUUUUUGAAAAAAACUCCAAAGCCAAUAGACCGUAUAUACUGUGCGCAAAAUUUCAAAUUACAGACUUACUUUUCAGCUGCAAAAAGAGGGUGUUGAUGGGGUAUAUCGUGAGUCGUGAUUCUUCUCAAUUUCGGUUACUGUCAGUCGUGAAAACACUAAAAAUUUAGCGUGAAUCGUGACGAAAAAAACACUGUUUAUCGUUUCAGAACACUUUUCAAAGAUUUACCGUUAAAAUACCAAAAUGUUACUUAUUGUUACCGUUAAAAAACCAAAAUUGUUACUGUUUACUGAUUUUCAGAACCCCCCCCCCACCUAGACACUCCAAAAAGAAUCCUUAUUUAUUUUUCUUAUUUUUACAGUCAUCCUACGAUAUUUCCAAAAAUCGACACGAUAAUACGCAGUACAAUGGCCAUUCUUCAAAUAUUAAUAUCAUGUCAGAAAUGUGAAUAACUUCUGUCCAAUAUGAUCUGGUAUCAAAGGCAAAUCAGGAAUCACUUGCAACAUUUCAAUAUAGUUAGUUUUGUUAGACCUUUUGUAUGUGCACGUAUAAGCAUGUCAACAAGAUGUGUUCGCACUGCUUGUUUGCAGUUGUAGUAACAUAAUAGCUUGAUGGAAUUAUCAGACUUGUUACAAGGUUGUUCAAACAAGUCUGAUACAGUCGUGAUAUAACAAGAAUGUUACAAGGUUGACGACACAAGGUUGUAACAAUAUAGUUGUUACAUCGCACUGCUUGCCCCAAGUUGGCAACAACCUUUUGGAUAUUAUCAGAUUUGUUGCAAGGUUGUUCCAACAAGUCCGAUACAGUCAUGGACUGUAUCGGACUUGUUGGAACAACCUUGCAACAAGUCUGAUAAUAUCCAAAAGGUUGUUGCCAACUUGGGGCAAGCAGUGCGAACACAACUUGUUGACGACUUGUUGGCAGACUUGCUGCAAGAUGUGAGGAUUUUUGGCCGUGUCAUCAAGAUGUGUUCGUACUGCUUGUUUCCAGUUGUUGACAAAUCUUGAACAAGUUGUUAUUAUCUUGUAACAAGGUUGAUGAGGCCAACAGACUCGCAACAAGUUGUUCCAACAAGUCUGAUAUCGUCUGCACGUAACAAGUUGUUAACAAGUUGAUGACAACAAGCUCGUAGCAACUUGUUGCGAACAGCCUGUAUUAGUCUUCUUGGAACAACUUGUGGCAAGUCUGUUACCGUCAUCAACCUUGUAACAAGGUGAUAACAAGUUGUUCCAGACUUAUCACAACAACUGGGAACAAGCAGUGCGAACACAUCCUGAUAUCGGCUUGACAACACUGUUUACAGACGAAUAUUUAUAUGUCACAGUGGCAGAACUACAUCUAUUUCAAAACAAUAUAUCGAUUAAUGACGGGAAAACUAAUCGAACGGGAAAAGUUGACCAUAUAGUGAAAAUAGAAUUUUGAGGUUUGGUAGUUUUUUUUUCUGAAGUAAAUUCAGUUUGUGACUACUUCAAAACAAUUCGUGGUAUAUUGGGAAGGUAUAAUAUUACUAGAAUUGUUUCAUACAUUAUUAGAAACAAAAGGUAUACGGAAUUAUAUACUUUCAGUGUACUGUAAGAAAAUAUUGUUGAACUGACAAGUUUGUAGUUCAAAAUGCUGUAUUUACAGCAAUCAAAGUAUCUAUUAAAUAUAUGUGGUGUUUUUUAAUGUAUUUUGAUAGUUGUCUGAUAU